rnacentral:rRNA from 1 species
GACGUAGGGCGCGAGCGUUGUCCGGAUUUAUUGGGCGUAAAGAGCUCGUAGGCGGCUCGUUGCGUCAAUCGUGAAAACCCGGAGGCUUAACCUCGGGCCUGACAGUCGAUACGGGCAGACUAGAGUUCGGCAGGGGAGACUGGAAUUCCUGGUGUAGCGGUGAAAUGCGCAGAUAUCAGGAGGAACACCGGUGGCGAAAGCGACUCUCUGGACGGCAACUGACGCUGAGGCACGAAAGCGUGGGGAGCAAACAGG